CGACGUAUUUGGAAACAAGUAUUUCUUCGGACUGAUUGCAAGGUGCUGCAUGGUUGUCGUCAGCUCGUGCCGUGAGGUGUCAGGUUAAGUCCUAUAACGAGCGCAACCCCUGUGGUUAGUUACCAGCACAUAACGGUGGGGACUCUAACCAGACUGCCGGUGCAAACCGUGAGGAAGGUGGGGAUGACGUUAGCCUAUCGAGA
rnacentral:misc_RNA from 1 species